AAAUAUUUGAUUUGCAAUUCGUGUCCAACCUCAAGGCCAAGAGCACUCGGAUGUUGUAUCAAGCGCUGAUCCAACUGGGAAUUGUGCAAAAAUGCGGGCGACAUGUUCGGAUAGAGGCGAAUCUAUCAAUUCUCGGGCCUCAUCCAAUGCUGCAGCAUUAGGAGCAAAAAUGGUGAACGUGUUCUCGCUUUGAGGAUAAAUCUGCAAUGGAAAUACGCACUUUUAUAGAUUCAGUAUUUUGCUUUUGCAAAACAUUAGAAAAAAUCGUAUUUGGAACGCCUGAAGUAUAUUUAUUCCAGUUAGUGAUAUUUCGUUCAAAUUUUUCAUGGAAUUUUUCACAUUGUUCGAGACGACACUCACAUGAACUCCGGUCUCUACGAAUAUUUUCUUAAGAUUAUGCCCGCCGACUCCGAGGAACUUUCCACGCUGAUGAGGUUGCACUUCGAAACUUUCCGUUAUCGGCCUGUUCGUCUUGUCCAAUGUUCCAAUUUCGUAACCAACCCAAUUGCUACUCCAGCAGCUGAAUGAGAUAUUGGAACACCGGCAUCCAACAGAGCGAGACUUCCGCCACACACCGAAGCCAUCGACGACGAUCCUGAUAAUCAAACGAGAAUUUUAAUAGUCACUGAACAAAUCAUUCCUUGUUUUUAUUAUCUGUAAAUUAUCGUGGAACAACCACAAAUUCAAUGAGAAUUGAAAUAAAGAAUUAAUUCUUGUGAAUAAUA